rnacentral:rRNA from 1 species
CACGGGGGUUGCGAGCGUUGUCCGGAAUUACUAGGCGUAAAGGGCAGGUAGGCGGAUCUAUAAGUUUGAUGUUAAAGGCGACGGCUUACCCGUCGUAAGGCAUUAGAUACUGUAGAUCUAGAAUGCGGUUGGGGAAGACAGAAUUCCUGGUGUAGCGGUGGAAUGCGCAGAGAUCAGGAGGAAUACCGAAGGCGAAGGCAGUCUUCUAAGCCGAUAUUGACGCUAAACUGCGAAGGUGUGGGUAUCAAACAGGAUUAGAUACCCUGGUAGUCCACACAGUAAACGAUAAUCACUAGGUGUCGGGUUCUUUAACGGAUUCGGUGCCGUAGCUAACGCGUUAAGUGAUUCGCCUGGGGAGUACGAUCGCAAGGUUGAA